AUGCUUCACCUCCCGGAGCUCGACAACUCCAUGUCCGGCGAGUUCCUGGACCUCGCCGAGCCCGUUAGGCUGCCCGGCUGCAUGCCCAUCCCGCCGAUCCAGGACAAGUCUGACCCCUGCUACCGUCUCAUACGUGCCGACGCCAGCGAUGAGUCGUGCGCCACCUUCCUGGACUGGAUCGAUCGGCAGCCUCCCAAGUCGGUCAUCUUCGUCUCAUUUGGCCCCAGAGGUUUGCUGUCGACGAAGCAUAUGCGUGAGCUAGCGGUUGGGCUGGAGCUCAACGGGCAGCGCUUCCUAUUGGUGGUGCGGAGCCCGAGCGACCAGGGGGCCGUGAAUGCCAACCACUAUGACGCUGAGAGCAAGAACGACCCCCUGGCCUACUUCCCAGAGCGGUUCGUGGACAGCAAUGACACCGGCCUCCUCGUGCCAUCGUGGGCGCCGCAGACGGAGAACACUAUCAUGCUGAUUGAAGGGGUCAGGGUAGCCAUACGAGAGGCGAUGACCAAGAGAAAGGAGGAGAUCGUCGUGGCAGUGAGGGAGGUGACGGUUGGCCAUGGCGAAGGCGCCGAGGUAAGAGCUAAGGUGGCGGCGAUGCAGAAGGUGGCCACAGAAGCUCUCCUUGAGGGAGGUGCCGCCACGACUGCACUGGAUGAGGUGGUGCAUAAGUGGACAUGUGGCUGGUAUUGCUAG
rnacentral:rRNA from 1 species